UUUUUUAUCUGUUGUUGUAAUCUCUUCCUAUGUCUUAUGUUGUUCAUGUGUGAAAACUUUAUGUUGUAACCAAAAGUUGAUAUGUUAUAAAUAACAAGGUUACAAAAUCUUACCAUAUUAUAAAUAACUUAAAGAAAACAAAUAAAUGUUCAUGUAGAACUUGCUCCAACAUUAGGACACUUUGUUCGAUUGUGUCCGAGCUAACAACAUAAACCACAUAAUCUUACCAUUUUACUUGUCGUGUCCAUUUGUAUUCUAAUUCACAUUAUGUUAGGGCGAUCCUUUUUCUUUCAUCGCAUGUUUUCGUCGUAUCAAAUUAUGUUCCCUUGAUAUGCAGGCCAAUAAUCUUCCAAUGCUACGAUCAGGAAGUUAUUGUUGUACAUAUUGAAAAUAUUUACGACUUUGUAAACAUCAGAGAGAUGCAUGGAAGCGUCUUGGAGAGCAUAUGAAUAUGCCACAAUGACAUGGGAGCAAGGCAUACGAAAG
rnacentral:lncRNA from 1 species